rnacentral:misc_RNA from 1 species
GAUGAAGAACGCAGCGAAAUGCGAUAAGUAAUGUGAAUUGCAGAAUUCAGUGAAUCAUCGAAUCUUUGAACGCACAUUGCGCCCGCCAGUAUUCUGGCGGGCAUGCCUGUUCGAGCGUCAUUUCAACCAUCAAGCCCCCGGCUUGUGUUGGGGACCUGCGGCUGCCGCAGGCCCUGAAAAGCAGUGGCGGGCUCGCUGUCACACCGAGCGUAGUAGCAUACAUCUCGCUCUGGGNNNNNNGCGGGUUCCGGCCGUUAAACCACCUUCAUAACCCAAGGUUGACCUCGGAUCAGGUAGGAAGACCCGCUGAACUUAAGCAUAUCAAUAAGCGGAGGA